rnacentral:misc_RNA from 1 species
AAGAAAUCAAAGAAAACCGCCCAAACACAGGAAGACAAAAACACACACAGAGAGGAGAAGGAUGAAGAAACCAGGCGGAGCAGAGAAGAAGAAGAAGCAAGCUGCGCCAAAGGAUGUCUUCCAGGCAUUUGCUGAGAAAGCUAGAGACCAUAAGGACUUGGUGUCUCGUUGGGCUGUCCUACAGGAAACACGGGUGGAGUAUUUCAGGGGAAAAGAUUUUGUUAGUUUUGUCAGAAAUCAUUUAGAACUGAAAGACAUACUCGAGUCAGACAGAAGUUUGG